rnacentral:rRNA from 1 species
AGUGAACGCUGGCGGUAGGCCUAACACAUGCAAGUCGAACGGCAGCACAGUAAGAGCUUGCUCUUACGGGUGGCGAGUGGCGGACGGGUGAGGAAUACAUCGGAAUCUACUUUUUCGUGGGGGAUAACGUAGGGAAACUUACGCUAAUACCGCAUACGACCUACGGGUGAAAGCAGGGGAUCUUCGGACCUUGCGCGACUGAAUGAGCCGAUGUCGGAUUAGCUAGUUGGCGGGGUAAAGGCCCACCAAGGCGACGAUCCGUAGCUGGUCUGAGAGGAUGAUCAGCCACACUGGAACUGAGACACGGUCCAGACUCCUACGGGAGGCAGCAGUGGGGAAUAUUGGACAAUGGGCGCAAGCCUGAUCCAGCCAUACCGCGUGGGUGAAGAAGGCCUUCGGGUUGUAAAGCCCUUUUGUUGGGAAAGAAAAGCGGCAGGUUAAUACCCCGCUGUUCUGACGGUACCCAAAGAAUAAGCACCGGCUAACUUCGUG